CACGUAGGGCGCAAGCGUUGUCCGGAAUUAUUGGGCGUAAAGAGCUCGUAGGUGGUUUGCUGCGUCCGCUGUGAAAACCCAAGGCUUAACCUUGGGCUUGCAGUGGAUACGGGCAGACUAGAGGUAGGUAGGGGAGAAUGGAAUUCCCGGUGUAGCGGUGAAAUGCGCAGAGAUCGGAAAGAACACCAACGGCGAAAGCACUCUGCUGGGCCGACACUGACGCUGAGGCACGAAAGCGUGGGGAGCAAACAGG
rnacentral:rRNA from 1 species